rnacentral:tRNA from 1 species
AAGUAGUUUAGUAAGAACAAUAGAUUGUGGUUCUGUGGGAGCUCUUUUAUGGGCCUUCAUUG